GGCCACACCGCCUGGUUCACGCCCGAUCUCGCUUUGAUCUCGGAAGCUAAGAUAGGUUGGGCCUGGUUAGUACUUGGAUGGGAGACCGCCUGGGAAUACCAGGUGCU
rnacentral:rRNA from 1 species